rnacentral:rRNA from 1 species
UUAAGCAUAUCAAUAAGCGGAGGAAAAGAAACCAACAGGGAUUGCCCUAGUAACGGCGAGUGAAGCGGCAACAGCUCAAAUUUGAAAUCUGGCUCUAUUUUGGAGUCCGAGUUGUAAUUUGUAGAGGGCGCUUUGGCGUCGGCAGCGGUCUAAGUUCCUUGGAACAGGACGUCACAGAGGGUGAGAAUCCCGUACGUGGUCGCGUGCCUUCGCCGUGUAAAGCCCCUUCGACGAGUCGAGUUGUUUGGGAAUGCAGCUCUAAAUGGGAGGUAAAUUUCUUCUAAAGCUAAAUACUGGCCAGAGACCGAUAGCGCACAAGUAGAGUGAUCGAAAGAUGAAAAGCACUUUGGAAAGAGAGUCAAAAAGCACGUGAAAUUGUUGAAAGGGAAGCGCUUGCAGCCAGACUUGCCUGCGGUUGCUCAUCCGGGCUCUUGCCCGGUGCACUCUUCCGUAGGCAGGCCAGCAUCAGUUUGGGCGGCUGGAUAAAGGCCUCUGUCAUGUACCUUCCCUCGGGAAGGCCUUAUAGGGGAGGCGUAAUGCAGCCAGCCUGGACUGAGGUCCGCGCAUUUGCUAGGAUGCUGGCGUAAUGGCUGUAAGCGGCCCGUCUUGAAACACGGACCAAGGAGUCUAACAUCUAUGCGAGUGUUUGGGUGUCAAGCCCGGGCGCGCAAUGAAAGUGAACGGAGGUGGGAACCCUUUGCGGGGUGCACCAUCGACCGAUCCUGAUGUCUUCGGAUGGAUUUGAGUAAGAGCAUAGCUGUUGGGACCCGAAAGAUGGUGAACUAUGCUUGAAUAGGGUGAAGCCAGAGGAAACUCUGGUGGAGGCUCGCAGCGGUUCUGACGUGCAAAUCGAUCGUCAAAUUUGGGCAUAGGGGCGAAAGACUAAUCGAACUAUCUAGUAGCUGGUUCC